AAAAAGGAAGAUAGCGAAAUUAACCAGACAAAAUAAAGAUUAAAGAGACAAAAAAUUGUGUAUAUCUUGGUGUAGAAGAUUUAUUCUCAAUUUCUUAUAAUAAAACUAAAAAUAUUAUUAAACUUUGGGAUUUACCUGUAACUACAAACUCUUUACAGAAGUUCAAUGUUUACUCUGAGAAGUUAAAUGAACAAAAUUUAUUAAAUGAUAAAGUUGUAUCCUUGAAAGAUAUGCUGGUAUUAUUGGCACAAUGGGCAAGCAGUGCAACUUGGUGAACUACAAAAUACAUCAAAUUCAGUUAUAAAAAUUUGAGUAUCAAAGGUAUGCUAAUUAUUGUAUUGCCUGAAAGAAUGUCAUUGCCAUUAAAAGCAGUGAAGAAUUCAAGUACUCUGGAAGAAAAAAGACGAGAAAACACUUCAGUAAAUGGCUGUGUAUUUUUGCAAGUUAAUUAUUUGGCACAAAUUGAAGUUAAAGACGAAGGAGAUUGUAUUUGUUAUUUACUAAGAAUAGUUUAUUAAAAUGGCCUAGCUGUAAAAUUAAAUUAUACAGGGAGAGGAUAAAAAAUUGGAAUAGGAAUAAUGUUGAUUGCAUAUGCUGCUAUUGAAACUGUGAAGUCAAUUAAGCAUGGCUUAUGCAGACAUGUGAUAGAGAUAGCAGAAGAAAAAAUAAUAAUCGUGGGCACCAAAUAU